ensembl:lncRNA
ACCAGCACCCCUGAGGCCUUCUCAGCAGAGCUGCUUCUCAGUCAGUCUGUUUCCAGCCUGCGGUGUUUCAAUGGGCUCUUGCUUCUUGGGGACAGGACUUUGCAUUUGUCCUUACUGAAUUUCACAAGGCGAGAAGUAUGGAAAACAGCCUCUGCAGAACUAGGUGCUUAUGAAUCAGUCAAAAUCUAGGAAGAUUCUACAGAUGAAUAAAAACAGUAGGCUAGCAUAAAGGAAAUCUCUGUGGUUCAUCACUGAAUGAAAGAAUAAAGAAGAGUGAAAGAUCUACUUCAGUAAAAUAUUCAAGAAGUGUUUUGUGAAUGCACGAAAUGGAUCCCUGUGGAGAUGGAGAAUGAGAUGAAGAGAAAUCAGAAAGACUGAUUAUGCUGAAACCAGUGCUACAAAAGAGGAUGCUUGAAAGGACAAGUGUGUUUCUCAGCCACUUGUCCUUCAAACAACAUGAUUGUCCUUGUAUGUAUCUGCUUCAUCCAGUUUAUCAGCAUCUCUCUUGAUAAACAUGUAUUUCCACAGUCAUUCAGUGAGUCAACAUGUUUGGAAACAAAACGCAGCAUUCCUUCUUGUUCAAAUGAAACAAAGAUUCAGGAAUUACUUACUAUACCUGACUUUUGUGUCUCAUCCAAAUUGAAGAUGCUAAGCACUCCUGGCACUGAAAACAAACAAAAAUCUGCACAGUUAAGGCAGAGAGUGGGAAUUGAAACUGGAAAAUCUGGAUGGUGAGAAAAUUAACAGGAACAACAAAAUGUAUUAGAUCAUGAUAAAAUUAUUUGUCUCACAGCCAUAAACAAUGUAAAGGGGAUUUAAUAAUUGUUUUGUCAAGAAGACCUUGUUGUAGACAAAGACUCAUGCAAUAACUGUUGUAAAGGUACACCACAAAACAAGAAAGCAUUCUCUGACUGCAGCAGAGUUACAAAUGUACAUGUAAAUGCGUAUGCAAUCCGAGAAACUGAUUGCAACUAUCAAUAGGGAUUUCUGUGAACAUCUGAUCACACGUGCAGUGUAACAAAUACAUUGGGCACAGAUAGUAAGUAGAGAGUCCAAACUCUAACUCAUAGAAUGAAAAACUCAUCUUGUCACCAAAAGAUAGGUUUAAUUUUUUUCCUUAUUUCCUUGUUUCCUUUUUUUUUUUUUUUUUUUUUUUUUUUUUUUAGAAGUGAAGCCAAACAGUUUCAGGAGGAGCAGAACUAACAUAUCCAGAUUUCAUAUGGAUUUUUUUCAUAUGGAUCCCAUCCCUUAUGUUUUCUUCCUUGUCUCCACUGCUACCCUGUAUGUUUUGCUGAGUUAAAACAGCAGCACAUAUGUAUAGUUAGAAAAUAAUCAUAAUGUGCUGACUUACUGGCUGAGUGUUACCACUUGAUUACAUAAGAGCCCGAGUUAUAAGUUUUUAUUUAAUGAUCUACUCAGCCAAGUAUUAAUACAACUUGUAAGAAUUUAAUUUAAGGCAAUCCCUUGUGUCAGACUCAAUUGAAUAUGGUUAAUAUAUUUAAAAGUUGGAGGGGAGAACAGUGCUGCACCAGAAAGUCAAUCUGACUGAGGCAACAGAGCAUCUUACAAGCACCACAGGGAAGUGUACUCUUCCUCAUUAAAACUGCAGCAUAAGGUCUCUGAGGAAUGGGAUAUUCUGUUAUGUUUCAUUGCUGGGUAGCAGAGGAGUGGUCUGACAAAAUGGCGUCUUACAUGGAAGUUUGUAUAAAGCAAAGGUGUGUCACUGAAUUCCUUUGUGUGGAAAAAAUGGCACCUCCUGACAUUCAUCAACACUUGCUGAAGGUUUAUGGAGACCUAACAGUGGAUGUGAGCACAGUGAAGUGGUGUGUUUCAGCAGUGUUGACAGUGAUGCGAAAGAACAGCUCAUUCAGCUAUAGGCUAGAUCACUUAAGCUCUCUUGGGCUUCACGAUUGAAAUGUAUGUAUUCUUGUAAUAGAGAAUAGAUUGGAAAACCAGAGUAACCUCCAGUUUAUAAUGGUUUGUGCAUUCUUUGUAAUUGUGGAUUUGAAACAAAAAACUGUGCUCCCCUCAAUCCUCCCCAGCUAAAGAGCUUCUCUGUAAGAAAUAGUGUAUAUGCUCUAAGUCUGUUUUCAUAACAGAUUUGAAUCUCUUAUGUUUCUAUAAUAUUCAGUUUAUUCAAAUUAUCCUUCAUUUGAAUAAUGCUUUAUAAUUUGUUGUAGAUGUAACGCAAGCUGCCUAUGAAAAUUUCAAACUAACUUUGUUUUUCAGAGUCACUCUUUGACUUUUUUUGUUCUUUUUUUUUUAAAUUAUUUUUCUUAAUACAUCUUAUUCUGAUUUUCUUGGCUUAGUUUUUAUUUCUUUGUUUUCUGUUGUUACAAUUUAAGCAUUUUGUCCAGUCUUUGUGAAAGCAGUGUAAUCAAUUCAGUAUAGCAUUAAAAUAAUUCAGUGUAUAAUUAACUUCAGGUUUUUCAAUACUUUCUUUUGAUAUGAUGUACAAAGUUAUUUCCCUUAUGAAUUUCAAUAAGUUAAAGCUCUUCAGUGCUUAAUGAAACAUUAAAGAAAAAAUGGUGUAUCACACUAGCAGUAUUUUCUACCAUCUCCAUCUUUAAAACAAGUGGCAAAUCCAUGCAUGUAACUUCUGCAUUUCCUAACUAUGUUUAUGGAGUAUAAGGAAUAAAUACAAACACCAUCUAACUGCUUUAAUGUUUACUAGUUGAUGGUUGUUCCUUGAAUAAAUAUUGAGCAGUACUAUUCAUUCAAUAAUAAAUAUUCAAAAUAUUGAGCAGUAUUCUUUCUUAGAAUUUUAUUAAUUUCCUUUUAAAUACCCAUAUUCUUUUAAAUUUUAAUGCCCAGAAUCAUAGAACCAUAGAAUGUCCUAGACUGAAAGGGACCCAUAAGGAUCAUAGUCCAGCUCCUCCUGUUUCAUAUCAUUUUAAAAAGGCAAGAUAUUAAAAUUACAUUCACCACAUGCUCAGUGUGUUCUCCGGUUGUUUAUCUGUUUUCCUUCUUAAAUAUCCAGUUUCUGGAUUUAAAACAAAACAAAACCCAAAUCUACAGGUGUUAUAAACAAAACAAGAAGUAGAUUAAAACAUGAGUUAUUUGAAGUGUGUGAAUAACUUCAGUUGUGGUUUUUUGUGAUAUGAGAUAUGUAAAGGACCUUUCCUUACUUUCCAUAACCCCAUAAUGUUUCAAGGGUGCAGGAAUGUCAGAAAGUAGCAAAAAGGAGGAACGAAAUGCAGAACUCAGCUUACAAGAAGGCAGGUGGCUUAUAUUAAUUGCUUUGCUGGAAAGAUUUUGAAUGUCCUUCCUACAUAGCAUAAUUCUUGUAAAACCUUAUUUUUUGCAUCUUGUGUCUUCUUCCUGAGACGUUUUCCUCAGUGCUCUAGCACAACUCAAGUCAUGGAUGUUUUUCACAUUAAAAAAAAAAAUCUAUAAGUUAAAAAAGAAAAAAGAAAAAAAGAAAAAAAAGUAGAAUGUGAGAAAGUACACAGUAGAUGGAGAAUAUUUUCAAUUCAAGUUGAUAUGAACUCCAAAAAUUCCAAUGCAACUUCUGAAAUUCCCUGGAAAAACUGUUCUUUCAUGCUUCCCCU